CCGCCGCUCGGUGCGCGUUGGGGAGGCCGUCGUGUCGAAAGCGACGGUUUCUAAUCCCUUCUGUGGCCUCCGGUCACGUUAAUCGGAGCGAGGGCUCAUGCCCCGCCCCGCGCUUCAGAUGUUCGAGUCGGGUCUGGAGCGCGCGUCCCUACCGAACAGCCAUUAAACACAUGGGACCUCACUCGAUCGCUGGGAUGCCUCGUAUCGCACGCUGGCGUAAGACCCGCGAGGCCACGGCCAUAUCGUCGGCACAACUAAUCGUGAUCAUACAGUUAAUUACAACUGGUAGCGUUGGAUCCCUCGGCAUGGCUAUCGAUGAAGAACGCGGCCAGCUGCGAAAUGUGAUGUGAAUUGCAACUCAAAGCGGUUAUCGUGAAUCAUUGACUAUUUGAACGCAUUGCACCGCCCUUUUGGGAGUGGUACACCCGAUUGAGAGUCAUAAUGACCUUCAGGUCGGGACGCUUGGCCAUUCGAUUGGCAGAUGCUCUCGUGCCGCAACCCAUCCCACUCGGGGUGGCGGAGGUGCUUCUGCAUGAGUGUCUCGACUCUGGCUUCGAGGCCGCACGGCACCCCGGUGUCGCGCGCCUUCAGAUGCAUUAGUGGCGACCGUGAGAGCGAGUCGGACUCUGUGUAAUAGUUCAUUCCACGCAGAGGAGCGCUUCGGUGCACUUGCGACUCGUGGUGCCGCUUCGAACCCGCCCCCGGGCACACCGCAGAGGCCCCGUGGCCCGCGCACAUUAUGGAAUUGGCCUCAGUUGGGUGGGAUGACCCGCUUGAUUUAAGCAUAUUAUUCAGCGGAGGAAAAGAAACUAACAAGGAUUCCCCCAGUAACGGCGAGUGAAGAGGGAA
rnacentral:rRNA from 1 species